rnacentral:rRNA from 1 species
CUACGGGAUGCAGCAGUGAGGAAUAUUGCACAAUGGGGGGAACCCUGAUGCAGCAACGCCGCGUGGAGGAUGACGCAUUUCGGUUUGUAAACUCCUUUUAUAUGUCAAGAAAAUGACGGUAGCAUAUGAAUAAGCACCGGCUAACUCCGUGCUAGCAGCCGCGGUAAUACGGAGGGUGCAAGCGUUACUCGGAAUCACUGGGCGUAAAGGACGCGUAGGCGGGUUGGAAAGUCAGGUGUGAAAUCCUACAGCUUAACUGUAGAACUGCACUUGAAACUUCUAAUCUAGAGUAUGGGAGGGGGAGAUGGAAUUAGUGGUGUAGGGGUAAAAUCCGUAGAUAUCACUAGGAAUACCUAAAGCGAAGGCGAUCUCCUGGAACAUUACUGACGCUAAGGCGUGAAAGCGUGGGGAGCAAACAGGAUUAGAUACCCUAGUAGUC